rnacentral:rRNA from 1 species
UACGAAGGGGGCUAGCGUUGCUCGGAAUCACUGGGCGUAAAGGGUGCGUAGGCGGGUCUUUAAGUCGGGGGUGAAAUCCUGGAGCUCAACUCCAGAACUGCCUUCGAUACUGGCGAUCUCGAGUUCGGGAGAGGUGAGUGGAACUGCGAGUGUAGAGGUGAAAUUCGUAGAUAUUCGCAAGAACACCAGUGGCGAAGGCGGCUCACUGGCCCGAUACUGACGCUGAGGCGCGAAAGCGUGGGGAGCAAACAGG